rnacentral:rRNA from 1 species
AGCGAACGUUUGCGGCGGGCUUAACACAUGCAAGUCGAACGAGAAUCCCUUCGGGGAGGAAAGUGGCGCACGGGUGCGUAACACGUGGAUAACCAACCCAUUGGUUUGGGACAACACCGGGAAACUGGUGCUAAUACCAGAUGUGUCGCAGCUGUCUUCAGGCGGUUGCGAGAAAGGCCCGCAAGGGUCGCCAACGGACGGGUCCGCGUCCCAUCAGCUAGUUGGUGAGGUAAUGGCUCACCAAGGCAAAGACGGGUAGCUGGUCUGAGAGGAUGAUCAGCCACACUGGAACUGAGACACGGUCCAGACUCCUACGGGAGGCAGCAGUGGGGAAUAUUGCGCAAUGGGCGAAAGCCUGACGCAGCCACGCCGCGUGAGCGAUGAAGGUCUUCGGAUCGUAAAGCUCUGUGGGGGGAGAAGAAGAAAGCCGGUGAAGAGCCGGCCCUGACGGUAUCCCCUUAGCAAGCACCGGCUAACUCCGUGCCAGCAGCCGCGGUAAAGUAGACG